CAGCCGCCGCGGGAAUACGGAGGGAGCUAGCGUUGUUCGGAAUUACUGGGCGUAAAGCGCACGUAGGCGGCUUUGUAAGUUAGAGGUGAAAGCCUGGAGCUCAACUCCAGAAUUGCCUUUAAGACUGCAUCGCUUGAAUCCGGGAGAGGUGAGUGGAAUUCCGAGUGUAGAGGUGAAAUUCGUAGAUAUUCGGAAGAACACCAGUGGCGAAGGCGGCUCACUGGACCGGCAUUGACGCUGAGGUGCGAAAGCGUGGGGAGCAAACAGGAUUAGAUACCCCCGAGUCCCUGUCUCUUAUACA
rnacentral:rRNA from 1 species